GAUGAACGCUGGCGGCGUGCCUAAUACAUGCCAGUCGAGCGAACAGACGAGGAGCUUGCUCCUCUGACGUUAGCGGCGGACGGGUGAGUAACACGUGGAUAACCUACCUAUAAGACUGGGAUAACUUCGGGAAACCGGAGCUAAUACCGGAUAAUAUAUUGAACCGCAUGGUUCAAUAGUGAAAGACGGUUUUGCUGUCACUUAUAGAUGGAUCCGCGCCGCAUUAGCUAGAUGGUAAGGUAACGGCUUACCAAGGCAACGAUGCGUAGCCGACCUGAGAGGGUGAUCGGCCACACUGGAACUGAGACACGGUCCAGACUCCUACGGGAGGCAGCAGUAGGGAAUCUUCCGCAAUGGGCGAAAGCCUGACGGAGCAACGCCGCGUGAGUGAUGAAGGUCUUCGGAUCGUAAAACUCUGUUAUUAGGGAAGAACAAAUGUGUAAGUAACUAUGCACGUCUUGACGGUACCUAAUCAGAAAGCCACGGCUAACUACGUG
rnacentral:rRNA from 1 species